rnacentral:tRNA from 1 species
GCAGUCGUGGCCGAGUGGUUAAGGCGAUAAACUAGAAAUCCAUUGGGGUCUUCCCGCACAGGUUCGAAUCCUGUCGACUGCG